AGGCAUUGACUGUCGUGGAGAAAAACAUCCAAGAUACCUUUUCAGAAAACGGGAACCACCCUUUGGUAAAGCUCGUAGCUAACGAAAAGCUGAAAUCAGCUUACAAGAAGAACAAAAGACUAGUUUCAUCGUAUACAGAAUCCGUCCUCGUCAAGGAAGCGUGUUCAGUGAUCAUGCAAGAGGUAAAGAGUAUGGUCUUUGAUUAUUUUUUGUAACAAGUAUUAUCUUACAAUAAUAUAUACGUUUUCAAAACAU